GACGAACGCUGGCGGCGUGCCUAAUACAUGCAAGUUGAGCGAUGAAGAUUGGUGCUUGCACCAAUUUGAAGAGCAGCGAACGGGUGAGUAACGCGUGGGGAAUCUGCCUUUGAGCGGGGGACAACAUUUGGAAACGAAUGCUAAUACCGCAUAACAACUUUAAACAUAAGUUUUAAGUGUGAAAGAUGCAAUUGCAUCACUCAAAGAUGAUCCCGCGUUGUAUUAGCUAGUUGGUGAGGUAAAGGCUCACCAAGGCGAUGAUACAUAGCCGACCUGAGAGGGUGGUCGGCCACAUUGGGACUGAGACACGGCCCCAACUCCUACGGGAGGCAGCCGUAGGGAAUCUUCGGCAAUGGACGGAAGUCUGACCGCGCACCGCCGCGUGAGUGAAGAAGGUUUUCGGAUCGUAAAACUCUGUUGGUAGAGAAGAACGUUGGUGAGAGUGGAAAGCUCAUCAAGUGACGGUAACUACCCAGAAAGCGACGGCUAACUACGUG
rnacentral:rRNA from 1 species